GACGAACGCUGGCGGCGUGCCUAAUACAUGCAAGUCGAACGCUGAAGAGAGGAGCUUGCUCUUCUUGGAUGAGUUGCGAACGGGUGAGUAACGCGUAGGUAACCUGCCUGGUAGCGGGGGAUAACUAUUGGAAACGAUAGCUAAUACCGCAUAAAAUGGAUUAUCGCAUGAUAAUCCAUUGAAAGGUGCAAAUGCAUCACUACCAGAUGGACCUGCGUUGUAUUAGCUAGUUGGUGGGGUAACGGCUCACCAAGGCGACGAUACAUAGCCGACCUGAGAGGGUGAUCGGCCACACUGGGACUGAGACACGGCCCAGACUCCUACGGGAGGCAGCAGUAGGGAAUCUUCGGCAAUGGACGGAAGUCUGACCGAGCAACGCCGCGGGAGUGAAGAAGGUUUUCGGAUCGUAAAGCUCUGUUGUAAGAGAAGAACGAGUGUGAGAGUGGAAAGUUCACACUGUGACGGUAUCUUACCAGAAAGGGACGGCUAACUACGUG
rnacentral:rRNA from 1 species